rnacentral:tRNA from 1 species
AAGGCAUUAGUGUAGCGGCAGCACGAUGGCAUCCGAAGCCAUAAGACGGGGUUCGAAUCCUCGAUGCUUUGCCA